GAUGAACGCUGGUGGCGUGCCUAACACAUGCAAGUCGAGCGAUUCUCUUCGGAGAAGUUCGGCGGACGGGUGAGUAACGCGUGGGUAACCUGCCCUGUACACACGGAUAACAUACCGAAAGGUAUGCUAAUACGAGAUAACAUGCUUUUCUCGCAUGGUCGUAGGAUUAAAAGUUUUGCAGUACAGGAUGGACCCGCGUUUGAUUAGCCAGUUGGUGAGGUGACGGCUCACCACGGCGACGACCACUAGCCCACCUGAGAGGGUGAUCGGCCACAUUGGAACUGAGACACGGUCCAAACUCCUACGGGAGGCAGCAGUGGGGAAUAUUGCACAAUGGGCGAAAGCCAGAUGCAGCAACGCCGCGUGAGCGAUGAAGGCCGGCGGGUCGUAAAGCUCUGUCCUAAAGGAAGAUAAUGACGGUACUUGAGGAGGAAGCCCCGGCUAACUACGUG
rnacentral:rRNA from 1 species